GAGCUUUAUUUUUAUUUUUUAUGAAUUAAAGGAAUUUUGAAAAUUUAUAAUAAAAUUAAAAAUUUUAUUGGGGUGGUAUUAAAAUUUAAUUAACUUUUAUUUUUUAUUACAUUAAUAUAUGAAUAUUUGAUCCAAUUUUAUUGAUUAAAAAAUUAAGUUACCUUAGGGAUAACAGCGUAUUUUUUUUUUAGAGUUCAUAUCGACAAAAAAGAUUGC
rnacentral:rRNA from 1 species